GACGAACGCUGGCGGCGUGCCUAAUACAUGCAAGUAGAACGCUGAAGGAGGAGCUUGCUUCUCCGGAUGAGUUGCGAACGGGUGAGUAACGCGUAGGUAACCUGCCUGGUAGCGGGGGAUAACUAUUGGAAACGAUAGCUAAUACCGCAUAACAGUAGAUAUUGCAUGAUAUCUGCUUGAAAGGUGCAAUUGCAUCACUACCAGAUGGACCUGCGUUGUAUUAGCUAGUUGGUGGGGUAACGGCUCACCAAGGCGACGAUACAUAGCCGACCUGAGAGGGUGAUCGGCCACACUGGGACUGAGACACGGCCCAGACUCCUACGGGAGGCAGCAGUAGGGAAUCUUCGGCAAUGGACGGAAGUCUGACCGAGCAACGCCGCGUGAGUGAAGAAGGUUUUCGGAUCGUAAAGCUCUGUUGUAAGAGAAGAACGAGUGUGAGGAGUGGAAAGUUCACACUGUGACGGUAUCUUACCA
rnacentral:rRNA from 1 species